GACAAAACAAAAACUGUCUCUGUUAUAAAAAUUUAAUUUAACUUUUAAGUGAAAAGGCUUAAAUAAAUUAAUGGGACGAUAAGACCCUAUAAGCUUUAUAUUUUUUUUGUUGCAUUGUAAAAAAUUUAAUUAAAUACCUCGAUAAAAAAACAUAUUUGGCUGGGGCGGCACGUUUAAAAUUUUUGUUAACUUUUCUUAUUUCAACCACAUAUAUGUGAAAUAAUAGAUCCUCUUUAAAGAUCAAAAGGUAAGUUACUUUAGGGAUAACAGCGUUAUUUUUUUUGAGAGUUCAUAUCGAAAAAAAAGAUUGCGACCUCGAUGUUGAAUUAAAAGUUCUAUAAAGUGUAGCAGUUUUAUAAGAAGGUCUGUUCGACC
rnacentral:rRNA from 1 species